AUCAUUGACUUGCAGAAACCGAGGAAGUGCGGGGCUUUCCAGAGCACCGCUGCAGUAUGAGCAGCUUCUUGCAGAGGUGAGCGCCGAUUUCUGCCCAUUCACAUGUGCCGAACCUUAGCCAGCGCGGGCGCCACGGACAGGGAGAAUGGAGCAUCCAUAGUCAGCACCUUCUGCAAGUCUGCAGAGCAGAGGCAAUGCCAGUGCACCUCUGCCUUCAGAUGCAUCUCUGCAAAGCCCCAAGUGGUCUCUCCAGUUUUGUGGUGCUGGGCUGGGAGAGAAAAGGCUUCAGUCCUACCUUCCU